rnacentral:rRNA from 1 species
UGGGGAAUUUUGGACAAUGGGCGAAAGCCUGAUCCAGCAAUGCCGCGUGUGUGAAGAAGGCCUUCGGGUUGUAAAGCACUUUUGUCCGGAAAGAGAUCCUUGGCUCUAAUACAGUCGGGGGAUGACGGUACCGGAAGAAUAAGCACCGGCUAACUACGUGCCAGCAGCCGCGGUAAUACGUAGGGUGCAAGCGUUAAUCGGAAUUACUGGGCGUAAAGCGUGCGCAGGCGGUUUGCUAAGACCGAUGUGAAAUCCCCGGGCUCAACCUGGGAACUGCAUUGGUGACUGGCAGGCUAGAGUAUGGCAGAGGGGGGUAGAAUUCCACGUGUAGCAGGUGAAAUGCGUAGAGAUGUGGAGGAAUACCGAUGGCGAAGGCAGCCCCCUGGGCCAAUACUGACGCUCAUGCACGAAAGCGUGGGGAGCAAACAGGAUUAGAUACCCUGGUAGUCCACGCCCUAAACGAUGUCAACUAGUUGUUGGGGAUUCAUUUCCUUAGUAACGUAGCUAACGCGUGAAGUUGACCG